rnacentral:rRNA from 1 species
GACGAACGCUGGCGGCGUGCUUAACACAUGCAGGUCGAGCGAACCCUUCGGGGUGAGCGGCGGACGGGUGAGUAACGCGUGGGUAACCUGCCCUAUACACACGGAUAACGUACCGAAAGGUACGCUAAUACGGGAUAAAGUUGUUGGAUGGCAUCUUCUAACAAUCAAAGCUCUGGCGGUAUAGGAUGGACCCGCGUCUGAUUAGCUAGUUGGUGAGGUAAUGGCUCACCAAGGCGACGAUCAGUAGCCGACCUGAGAGGGUGAUCGGCCACACUGGAACUGAGACACGGUCCAGACUCCUACGGGAGGCAGCAGUGGGGAAUAUUGCACAAUGGGCGAAAGCCUGAUGCAGCAACGCCGCGUGAGCGAUGAAGGUCUUCGGAUCGUAAAGCUCUGUCCUCAAGGAAGAUAAUGACGGUACUUGAGGAGGAAGCCCCGGCUAACUACGUGCCAGCCGCCGCCGUAA